UACGUAGGGUGCGAGCGUUACUCGGAAUUACUGGGCGUAAAGCGUGCGCAGGCGGUCUGUUAAGACCGAUGUGAAAUCCCCGGGCUUAACCUGGGAACUGCAUUGGUGACUGGCAGGCUUUGAGUGUGGCAGAGGGAGGUAGAAUUCCACGUGUAGCAGUGAAAUGCGUAGAUAUCUGGAGGAAUACCGGUGGCGAAGGCGGCAUCCUGGACCGACAUUGACGCUGAGGAGCGAAAGCUAGGGGAGCAAACGGG
rnacentral:rRNA from 1 species